rnacentral:rRNA from 1 species
CCAGACUCCUACGGGAGGCAGCAGUGGGGAAUAUUGCACAAUGGGGGGAACCCUGAUGCAGCGACGCCGCGUGGGUGAAGAAGUCAUUCGUGACGUAAAGCCCUAUCAGCAGGGAAGAAAAUGACGGUACCUGACUAAGAAGCCCCGGCUAACUACGUGCCAGCAGCCGCGGUAAUACGUAGGGGGCAAGCGUUAUCCGGAUUUACUGGGUGUAAAGGGAGCGUAGACGGAAAGGCAAGUCAGAAGUGAAAACCCAAGGCUCAACCAUGGGACUGCUUUUGAAACUGUCAAACUAGAGUACGGGAGAGGUAAGAGGAAUUCCUAGUGUAGCGGUGAAAUGCGUAGAUAUUAGGAGGAACACCAGUGGCGGAGGCG